rnacentral:sRNA from 1 species
GCUGGGCGUGGUGGUGCACACACCUGUAGUCCCAGCUACUUGGAAGGCUGAGGCAGGAGAAUUGCUUGAACCCGGGAGGUGGAGGUUGCAGUGAGCCGAGAUUGCGCCACUGCACUCCAGCCUGGCGCCUGGCAACAAAGCAAGACUCUGUCUCAAAAAAAAAAAAAAAGAGACGAAGUCUUGCUCUGUCGCCAGGCUGGAGUGCAGUGGCACGAUCUCGGCUCACUGCAACCUCCAACUCCCUAAUUCAAGCUAUUCCCCUGCCUCA